rnacentral:rRNA from 1 species
AUGGAUCACACUGGCAACAUGUUGGCAAAUAAGCAUGCACCUGCGGAGCAGUUCAUCGGCGCUGUGACGUCGUCGUACACGCAGUGCGGCGAUGGCGCGGGACAGUCUGGGUGGUGGCGGCCUGUAAAAGCCUCGCGAAGUUCAGACAGUCUGGGCGGCACCUUUGUUGGCGAAGAGCGCGGACGUGAAUGGCGCAGGGCAGGUCAGCUCGUCGCACCCGUCGUCGGGUCCCUCGUCGGCUGCGCAGGGCAGCGAUGGCACAGGUCAACCUGGACGCCUGGAUGGCAACAAAGUUCAGACAGUCUGGGCGGUACCUGUUUUGACGAAGAGCUCGUCGUUGCGGCCGUCGUCUGGUGCCUUGCCGUCUGCGCAGGGCAGCGAUGGCGCAUGUAA